rnacentral:rRNA from 1 species
CAGUCGCCACGGGAAUACGUAGGUGGCAAGCGUUGUCCGGAAUUAUUGGGCGUAAAGCGCUCGCAGGUGGUUUAAUAAGUCUGAUGUGAAAGCCCACGGCUCAACCGUAGAGGGUCAUUGGAAACUGUUAAACUUGAGUGCAGGAGAGAAUAGUGGAAUUCCUAGUGUAGCGGUGAAAUGCGUAGAGAUUAGGAGGAACACCAGUGGCGAAGGCGGCUUUUUGGCCUGUAACUGACACUGAGGCGCGAAAGCGUGGGGAGCAAACAGGAUUAGAUACCCCCGUAGUCCCUGUCUCUUAUAC